CAAAAAAGCUACGCCACGGAAAAAGAAGGCGUAGCCCAUAGGCGUCCAUGGAACGGCGAAAAAUCAGCCCCCUCUCUGAGCGCCUCGCCCCGCCCCUAUGGCCCGAAGGAGCAUAGGAUGAGAACUAUCCCGGGGACCAAUCAGCAUGCGCGCCCGGCGUGGACGAGCCCCCCUCUCUGCACCCAAUCACCUGCGACCGCGCCCUACAAAACAUCCGGCCAGCGCCACCCAAACCCCCAGGUGCCCUGACUCUGGCGCUCCCACCUGGUGAUGACCGACGGAGCGCUGACAGGCACAUCCAGGGCAUGGCUGCUCCCCCGCGCCCCGCCCUCCCCAAACAUCUCUG